rnacentral:lncRNA from 1 species
GUACCCUAGACUUCUACUUCCAAAAAAUCUCCUACUGUCUCAAUAAAGAUUGGUGCUCUAAAAGCUUGUCGUGAAGCUCCCUUAGAUUAGACUCCACAAGACCCCCUUCCCGAUCCUCUCUCCUCUAGAGUGCCAUAAUAUCUGCCUCUUACCUCUCGAGCCACCUGAAAAUAUCUCCAACCUCAAGAUGGUUCCACCAGAUGAGUCUAUGCCUUGCCAGCUCGAGUCUCUUGGUCUUUCGGUACCUCAUAUCACA